UACGGAAGGCAGCAGUGGGGAAUAUUGCACAAUGGGCGAAAGCCUGAUGCAGCUAUGCCGCGUGUAUGAAGAAGGCCUUAGGGUUGUAAAGUACUUUCAUCGGGGAGGAAAAACAAAACUAAUAAUUUUAUUUCUUGACGUUACCCGAAAAAGAAGCACCGGCUAACUCCGUGCCAGCAGCCGCGGUAAUACGGAGGGUGCUAGCGUUAAUCAGAAUUACUGGGCGUAAAGAGCACGUAGGUGGUUUUUUAAGUCAGAUGUGAAAUCCCUGGGCUUAACCUAGGAACUGCAUUUUGAAACUGAAAUACUAGAGUAUCGUAGAGGGAGGUAGAAUUCUAGGUGUAGCGGUGAAAUGCGUAGAUAUCUGGAGGAAUACCUGUGGCGAAAGCGGCCUCCUAAACGAAUACUGACACUGAGGUGCGAAAGCGUGGGGAGCAAACGAGGAUUAGAUACC
rnacentral:rRNA from 1 species